rnacentral:misc_RNA from 1 species
UCAAACUUGGUCAUUUAGAGGAAGUAAAAGUCGUAACAAGGUCUCCGUAGGUGAACCUGCGGAGGGAUCAUUACCGAGUGAGGGCCCCGCCCGACCUCCAACCCUUUGUGAUUUGACCACUGUUGCCUCGGGGGUCACCCGUCUCGCCUGAGGCGGGGCCCCCGCUGGACCCCAAACUCCGCGUCUCUGCGUCAGUUUGAUUGACAAAUGAAUCAAAACUUUCAACAACGGAUCUCUUGGUUCUGGCAUCGAUGAAGAACGCAGC